rnacentral:rRNA from 1 species
GACGUAGGGGGCCAGCGUUGCUCGGAAUUACUGGGUGUAAAGGGUUCGUAGGCGGUGUGGCAAGUCGGGAGUGAAAUCCCUGGGCUUAACCCAGGGGCUGCUUCUGAAACUGCCGUGCUAGAGUGUGGGAGAGGCGCGUGGAAUUGCAGGUGUAGCGGUGAAAUGCGUAGAUAUCCGCAGGAACACCCGUGGCGAAAGCGGCGCGCUGGACCACUACUGACGCUGAGGAACGAAAGCUAGGGGAGCAAACAGG